ACAACAACAACAACAACAACAACAACAACAACAACAACAACAACAACAACAACAACAACAACAACAACAACAACAACAACAACAACAACAACAACAACAACAACAACUUCUGCUGGUAAUAAUGAAUAUUUGCACUGGCACAGUUAUGCCUGUUAUCACUCUUUUCAGUUUACUGACCUAUGCAGUUGUGGUCAUACACUCAUCAUGAGGAAUGUUUUAAAUGGUGUAAAUAUAUCUUGAAUGAUUUUUAAAAAAAAAUUGGGUUCACAAGUUUGUUAGAGUUUCUCCAAUGUGCACAGGGUCAAAGUUAUAAAUAUAAAUAUACACCUCUGCGAAUAUUUGGUUAAAUGUGGAAGUUGCACCUCAUCGACAAGCUUCUGUCUGCCAGAUUUCUGAACACUCUUCUUGGCAGAAUUGGUAAAGUUCAUUUAAACUGGUUGGUUUCCUGGCAUAGUCCACAAAUUCGAGGCAGGAUUAAGGUCAAAGCUUUGGGAAGACUCUUCCAGAAGCUUAAUUUUAGCCUGCUUUAUUCCAAAACUAGUUUCUGGUUUUCUGUUUGUGGUUAUUGUUCUGUUGGAACACUCAACACUCAACCAUCUAACUAUUGAUUUGAUGUGAAGUUGAAGAAUUUUGAGGUAGACCUCCUUCUUCAUUAUUCCAUCCACUUUGUGCACUGGCAGCAAAACAGCCCCAGAGAAUGAUGCUAGGUUUGAAAGCCUUACAUUUACUCCUACAUACUUCUUGUCAUUGUGGCCAAAUAGUUCUUUAUCUCAUCUGACCAUGUGGGCAGCUGCAAAUUUCAGUUGAGUUUGAAGGUGUUAAUUUUGAAGCUGGGGCGUUCUUGGUCACCCACUCUCAGUCCAUGUUGAUGUAAAACUGGCUUCACUGUGGAAAGUGACGGUGGUGUUCCAGUUUCCAGUUCACAGCAGACUUGGGCGUUGGUGGUUCCAGAACAUGCUAACCAAUGUCCUGUCAUAUGAGGGUGACAGUUUGAAUCUUCCAGACUGUGGCAAAACUGUGACUCAUCCAAAGAACUUCUGCUUACUUGAAGUGAUGAUCUUGAAAUCUGCAGUUGUUUCGAAAUGUUUCAUAGAGGCAUUCAUUCUCCUUAGAAAGUGUCAAGUGAUUGUACAGUGUAUACAGUGAGAGGUGACAGGUCAGCAGUCAGAUGACACUGGAUACAUUACUUCGAUGUCCACUGUGCAGGAGCGUAAUUUCCAGGGGGGGUUAGGGGGGUUAUGACAGAUUUAUUUAUUUAUUUAGACAGAGAUCUUGACCCCCCCCAAUGUUCAGCACAAAGUUGAACAUUGCCACUGUGAUUAGCUUCAAUGUCUUUAGAGAUUUUGAAGAUUCUACCAACUGACAAGGCCUGCCAAGCUUCUGCACAUGUUAGCAGUUACAAAUCAACUAAAUUGUAAAACAUUCAUCUUAAAAACCCAUAAUAAAGAUAUGCGAUGCCUCCCAUCUUUCCAUCUUGUAUGGCUGAGAGUCGGCUGUGGCGAAUAUUCUUAAAUCAGUGCUCGUGCUCUGAGAAAACCCAUGGGCUUUAUGUGCUAAAAUGUCCUGUGAUUGAAUUUGAUACUUCAUUUCAAGAUCAUUUUUCAAAUUCAUACAUUUGGUCGAUUGAUAAGAAGGGCUUCACGUUGAACAUACCGUAGCUGUGCUCUGAACAUUUUAAAUUAAAUUGGAAGUGCUUCAGGAGUGUGCACAUUUCAGCUCUGUGAGGGGGAAAAUUCUUAAUCUUUAAGCUCUGCGAAUACAGAAAGUGAUUCAGAUUUCUGCUUACUCACAUUUCCAGGAACUAUUCCCUCCUACAUUUCAAUAUAUUACCACAGUGUAUGUACAGAUUGCAUUUUGCCUUUAUUGGAUUUCAGCAAUGUGUUAGAGAGAGAGAGAGAGGAAAUUAGGGAGAGAAAUAGAGGCAGAAAUGUACCUGUUACUAAUUUCUUAUUCUUCUCACACAGCAGAUGUUCUUCAGUAAUAUAGGUUUUUAUCUAUAUUACAGCAUGUUGUUAUUUAACACUAAAGCACAGACGGACUGGUGACUCUUUGAGACUUUGAUUAACAGAAAAUUACAGUGUAGUCAUCAGUAAUAAUAGUCAGGGUGUUUUGGUUCAUCCAUUGUUACUUGCUGGGGUCAUAAAUUAUCCCAGUCUGUCUCUUGAGGGUUAAACUCAAAACCGGUUACAUUGCAAGCAGAGAAACAAAUAAGAAAUGUGCUUUUCUCCUCUCUGGCACACAUGACAGCAUCAGGAGCAGAAAGCUAUAUCCCAAAAACUGAAGAAUUUGUCAGGUGACCAGUCAUAUGAACCAACAUUAUAAGUGAAAGCUUCUGCCCUUUAUCAGUUUCAUCACAUACACGUUUUGUAUGUGUGUAUUUGCUCUAUCUCCCUUUUUAGCUGUAGAUAGUGUCUGUCUUAAAGGAAACUCUUCAAUAGAUUUAAUGAUGUGGAUUUGAGGUUUAAAGACAGAGAGUAAGAAAAUCCCUCUGGGUCGAGCAAAAACAAAGGUUUCUUUGUGAAAGAGUUCGUCAGUGUUUGAUGUGAGCUUCAAAAAUGAUAUCAAAGAUUACAUCAAAGUUUCCAGUGAAAGAAGAAAAUUUCCCCAUCUCAUCUGCAACAUUUCAUCUUGAGCUCACAAAUCAAGCUGACACAGAAUAUUUCCUCUUACCUUCGUGUGUAUGCACUUACAUGCCCUGCCUUUACAUUUUUUCUUUGUACUAUUAAUAUCAGGUAUUGGAUCUCCUUAAUGAUAUAACAAAACCCUGUAUAUUAUUUAAUUGACGUCCCUGCUCAGAGACACACUGUCACUCUCGAUUGUGCUCCUGAUUGUACAUAAAGCUAUUUUUUCUGUACAAAUAGCUUGUCCCCUUGUGGGACUAAUAAAGGUAUAUCUAUCAAUCAAUCAAUCAAUCAAUCAAUCAAUCAAUCAAUCAAUCAAUCAAAAGACAAACCUCACUUCAGUUGAAUUUAUGAGCUGUCCAGCACUUUAAAAGGAAUUAUGUCUUUUAUAGAAUAUCAAAUAGCAUUUCCUCAUGACUGGAAUAGCCUACACUUCUUGUUAAUUGCUGAUGGUUUGUUGUGACUGGGUUGAGGUGUGAAAGGAGAGAAGACAGGGUCAAAGUUCCCAGCGAUACCGAAUCUCCUCCCCUGGUGUCUUGUAUCCUUAAAUCAUGGUAAAGGAAGACUGGUGGCAUCAGUUUCUUAGGCAGAACAACGUGUAACAUCCUGUACUGACACAGACUGAGGCCACAUCAGAUGCCACUUGAAUCGGGAACAGACAACUUGUCCUGCGCUGAGGCAGCUUGCCCAGGAUUAUCCGAGGCAUCGCAUUCAGGCCAGGCAGUUCCUUCUUUGGGUGCCCAUUGUUCAAUAACCCCCUCAGAUACAUCAAGUCAACCACACAAAAAAACAGACGUGCAUUUUACCCUGACUGUACUUCAACCAGGACCAUUACCAGGUGCACAAACCUGUGUCGGACCUCAGCUCCAAUCACUGAGAGUGCAAACCUAGAACAAGGAAAGCGAGGAAAAGAUGAAGGGACACUGAAGGGAAUUAAGCAUCACUGUGGGGUGUGUGCACACCUGAUAUUCGCUGUAGUCCUGUUUGUAUUCCCUCCUCUUUUUGCUGUGGGAGUCUGUAUCACUGAUAUUUAUUCUGGAGAGUGUUGUAAUGUAAAUGGGAAAGAAAUGGAUGACCCAUAGACUGCUUAGAAAUACAGUCCCUAGAUAAUCUACUGUAUAGGGAUUUGUAUUUAUCACAAAUUGUGACCCUAACAAAGAAAAACAACAUUUUUGUUAGACUUUUUAGACUGGUUUACAAUAUUUCCAUUGCAUAUUAGUUACUUUGUCACUAUAUAAAAAUAGACUCAAGCACUCUGUUGCAUUGAGAAUCUUACAUACUUUAUGUUCAGUUAGGUUUAUGUGAUCUGAAGUCAUACAGUAGUUGAGGGUGGGAACAGCACUGGAAAAAAGUGUCCUGUGGUUCAUUCAAGAAACCUCCAGUAUUCAAGUACUGCUUCUCUAGCUGGAAAAGCGAAGCUCAAAGACAGUGACAAAAAGAGCUGAACUGUGAGAAGAUUGUGAUUUUGUAUUAUUUAUGUCUUUACACUAAGCCUGAUGACUGGAUGGGGAAAAAACAGUUAUAAAUUAUAAUGUAUUUAGAAAAUGUACCUGUAUUUUGUUUAAAAACUGAAAGGAAGAUUGUUUAGGCUAAGAGGUACUGCUUUAAAACAUGUAUUAUAUAAUAAUGACAGUCAUCACAGCUAUUUAAGAAAAUUAUUUAAAACCACUGAAUUUGCAUUGGAUGUGCUAUUUAUUAACUACAUUUUUUUUAAAGAUCUGUACAGUUAUGUUCCUUCUUUUGAAUGUACCUUUUAAAUCUUUUGACAAAAUGUUAUUUUAUUUUUCUUAAACGAUUUAAAAGAAGUUUAUUAGUAAUAAAGUGCUUAUGAGGCAAUGAGUCCACUUUCCUUCAAAGACUCUAUUGUACCCUCCAGUAGACUCUAUUGUAGACUCUACUGACUCUACUGUUAUUUAUACUAAGUAUGAUUUACUGAGAUCCACAUUGGUAUUCCUUCAACUAUACCCUCCCACGUUGACUGCACCAUCUAGUGGCAUUACACAGUACAACGCUUGUGCUGAAACUAAAUAAUACACAUAAAGGCAACAUCUUUUUUUUACGUCCACAGUUACAUAAUGCUCCCACAAACUUCAUAAUGUAAAUCAAGAUAGCUUAAUAACUCAAGUAGCACAACAUGUUGAUGUAUACUGUUUAUUAUUGGGAUGGGAUUCUUCUUCCACCCAUAAGGGUUAUGUGGAGGAUACAUUUUAGGUGAAUAUGUUGUUUUGUUUUUUAAUGUUAUUUUUUCAUCUUCUUUUACUUGUUACUUUAUCUGGGAAUUUUGGACUGUAGUUACAAAAUCAAAUCAUUGCAUUUUUAGGUAGCAACAACGGCUAUCGCAGGGCACAUUAUAUUGCAAGCAGCCUACAUAUUUGUCAUAUUUGUCAAAACGUACCCAGAGGUAUUUUAGUCAGAGGAAAAUCACCAGCACUGCAACAUCUUUUUUAAAAUUUUUAACAAUGCUUAUAAAUUGGAGUUUUGUUUAGGUUUUUUUUUUUUUCAUGUUUAAUGCUCAUUUAUUUUAUCAGAUGGUCAUGAAUCAUAAUAAUAUUAACUUGUCGAGAACAUUGUAUGUGCAUAUGUGGAGUCAUCAAAGAAAAGCUCAUUGUGACGGUCAUUGCCAAUCAACCUGUCUUGUGACCUAUUAAUAAAAAGUCAUUUUCAUUUCAUACUCUUCAUCACAUUCAGAAUUUCUUUGAGUUGUUGAAUGUUCUUACCCUUCUUGCUUGUAAAGCAUUUUUAAACGGUAACCUCAAUACAUGAUUUUUUCCCCUGCCCCAUUUGUCAUCUCAUGAUCCCAUACAUCAACUUUGUGUUUUCCUGAAGGGAUCACUAGCUUAGAGAUCAUUGACCUUGACUAUUAAAACAGUAAUUCAUCAGCAUUGUUUUUGAAUUUGUAUCCUAAAUUAAUUUUUGAUACUGUUACUUUUAAAAUUAAGAUUUUUAUUACAUAUUCUUAUAUUCUUAGUUCAGUUAAUAUUAUUGGAUUGACACUUUUACUUAAAUAAAAGGGAGUAAACUGGACCAUUACAUUAAAAAAAGGAACAAAAAAGCCCCAAAAAACUUCCCACCUGACCCUCUCAGAAUCAAGUGUCUUAAAUUACCUAAGAGAUAAGUUUAGUAUAAAAAUGUAGACCUUUUAUGAACUAUAACUCGUUUUGACAAACUACUCGUCUCACAAAGUGAUACUGGCCCUUGAAAGUUUACCUCAAAUUAGAUUUUCUCCAGUGAAUUAUCAGAAAAGGGAUAAAACAUCCAGGGUACCAAUGUUAGUUUCUAUUAUUCUACAUCAGACAUUAAUUUGGUGCCGUUAAGACUGACACCAAUACUGGUUACAGAAAAAAAUAAACAAAAACAAGACUAGAUUUAUCCCUGUAUAUUAUUUAAUUUAUCCUUUAGAACAUGACACUUGGAGAGAUUUGACUGACUAGGUUGCAGGGCCUCACUGUGUUUUUCAGCCCCUGGAAAUUUCUUGUGCGUCUCCCCUGAACUAAAGUUAUGAAGGCUCUCAAAUGUUAUUAAUUCACAAAAAUAUGUGAAUUCAAAAGAACCACAUCUCACCCGCUUGAAACUUGGAAAAUGUUAACAAAAAAAAUCCAUUGAUUUAUGAGGAGCUUGGGUGUGAAGCACCAAUUGAUUGCUAAUAGAAAAAACAUUAAUAUUAAAGAAAAGUUGGGGGGGCAAAAAAGGAGUCUACAUUGGGGAUCAAGGUUUAGCCUGUUAUUCAUUGCAAACAUUUAUUACAUUUCAUAUGAUGCAAACAACAGUAAGUCCCACCCUUGCUGGAAUAGCUCAUCAUGUUGUCAUGAGGGAAUUAAAGAGACACAAAGGGACAGGGACAGAAAAAAGUAUGUAUUAUGCGCAAUUCCAUUGUUUCCUUACAAAAUAAAAACAAAAACAUAACAAUCAUCUCAUAGUGAAUUUUGGCAUCUCCUUCUCUCCUGUUGUAUUGUGGAGUAAUGGUAAAUAAAACAAAAAACUCAAAAGAACAAGGCAUGCAUAAUAGUUUCUGGUAAUGCACAUAGAUCAAAGGAUACCACUUACAAAUACAAAAUCCAUGUACGAUGUUUGUGUACAUUUCAUAUAUAUGGUCCCUUUCUUAGGUGUCUUAAGCCUAUCUACCUGUUCCCACUGUGGGACGUGUCUUCUGCUUGGUCACUAGAUUAACCCUGUGAAAAGGUCUGAGCAGGAACGUACAUCUGUAGUAUGAACUUCUAACAGUGAUGACUACUAGACGUUACAUCUGGCUGUUUAUUUUAUUCCUCGCUUCAUUUCUUACUGCAUGUUAUUAUAAAGAUAUUUAUUGCAAAGUUCAUUUAAUUUAUUUAAA